GCUGCACCUCGGGAGAUGUGGAUAUUAUGGUGUGGAGGGAUAGAAACCGCGUGGCUUUAAUUUCAACAUACCAUGGUCUCGUAACUACCAGGUGUGGC